rnacentral:rRNA from 1 species
UACAUGGGGUGCAAACGUUGCUCGGAAUUACUGGGCGUAAAGCGCACGUAGGCGGCUUUUGUAAGUUAGAGGUGAAAGCCCGGGGCUCAACUCCGGAAUUGCCUUUAAGACUGCAUCGCUAGAAUUGUGGAGAGGUAAGUGGAAUUCCGAGUGUAGAGGUGAAAUUCGUAGAUAUUCGGAAGAACACCAGUGGCGAAGGCGACUUACUGGACACAUAUUGACGCUGAGGUGCGAAAGCGUGGGGAGCAAACAGG